ACAAGCGGUGAGCAUGUGGUUUAAUUCGAAGCAACGCGAAGAACCUUACCAGGUCUUGACAUCCCGAUGCUAUUUCUAGAGAUAGAAAGUUACUUCGGUACAUCGGUGACAGGUGGUGCAUGGUUGUCGUCAGCUCGUGUCGCGAGAUGUUGGGUUAAGUCCCGCAACGAGCGCAACCCCUAUUGUUAGUUGCCAUCAUCCAGUUGGGCACUCUAGCGAGACUGCCGGUAAUAAACCGGAGGAAGGUGGGGAUGACGUCAAAUCAUCAUGCCCCUUAUGACCUGGGCUACACACGUGCUACAAUGGUUGGUACAACGAGUUGCGAGUCGGUGACGGCGAGCUAAUCUCUUAAAGCCAAUCUCAGUUCGGAUUGUAGGCUGCAACUCGCCUACAUGAAGUCGGAAUCGCUAGUAAUCGCGGAUCAGCACGCCGCGGUGAAUACGUUCCCGGGCCUU
rnacentral:rRNA from 1 species